UACGGAGGGGGCUAGCGUUGUUCGGAAUUACUGGGCGUAAAGCGCGCGUAGGCGGACCUGCAAGUCGGGGGUGAAAGCCCGAGGCUCAACCUCGGAACUGCCUUCGAUACUGCGGGUCUCGAGUCCGGGAGAGGUGAGUGGAAUUCCUAGUGUAGAGGUGAAAUUCGUAGAUAUUAGGAAGAACACCAAUGGCGAAGGCGAGCUCACUG
rnacentral:rRNA from 1 species